UACGGGGGGUGCAAGCGUUGUUCGGAAUCAUUGGGCGUAAAGAGCGUGUAGGCGGCCGCGUAUGUCAGAUGUGAAAGUCCUGGGCUCAACCUGGGAAGUGCAUUUGAAACUGCGUGGCUAGAGUAAGGGAGAGGAAAGUGGAAUUCCUGGUGUAGAGGUGAAAUUCGCAGAUAUCAGGAGGAACACCUGUGGCGAAGGCGGCUUUCUGGCCCUAUACUGACGCUGAGACGCGAAAGCGUGGGUAGCAAACAGG
rnacentral:rRNA from 1 species